UACGUAGGGGGCCAGCGUUGUCCGGAUUUAUUGGGCGUAAAGAGCUUGUAGGCGGUUUGUCGCGUCUGCCGUGAAAAUCCGGGGCUCAACCCCGGACUUGCGGCGGGUACGGGCAGACUAGAGUGUGGUAGGGGAGACUGGAAUUCCUGGUGUAGCGGUGAAAUGCGCAGAUAUCAGGAGGAACACCGAUGGCGAAGGCAGGUCUCUGGGCCACUACUGACGCUGAGAAGCGAAAGCGUGGGGAGCGAACAGG
rnacentral:rRNA from 1 species